rnacentral:rRNA from 1 species
GAUGAACGCUGGCGGCGUGCCUAAUACAUGCAAGUCGAGCGAACAGACGAGGAGCUUGCUCCUCUGACGUUAGCGGCGGACGGGUGAGUAACACGUGGAUAACCUACCUAUAAGACUGGGAUAACUUCGGGAAACCGGAGCUAAUCCCGGAUAAUAUAUUGAACCGCAUGGUUCAUUAGUGAAAGACGGUUUUGCUGUCACUUAUGAAUGGUUCCGCGCCGCAUUAGCUAGUUGGUAAGGUAACGGCUUACCAAGGCAACGAUGCGUAGCCGACCUGAGAGGGUGAUCGGCCACACUGGAACUGAGACACGGUCCAGACUCCUACGGGAGGCAGCAGUAGGGAAUCUUCCGCAAUGGGCGAAAGCCUGACGGAGCAACGCCGCGUGAGUGAUGAAGGUCUUCGGAUCGUAAAACUCUGUUAUUAGGGAAGAACAAAUGUGUAAGUAACUAUGCACGUCUUGACGGUACCUAAUCAGAAAGCCACGGCUAACUACGUG